GCUCGCCACUAGAGGCACUAAGGCCGACAACGAGCUCCAGCCGCCUAAGCGGGCCUGAGGUUGCCUAGUUACUGCCCAGGGAAGGAGGAAGAGGUGCUAAAAGCCUGCAGACGCUCUGGCAACCCCUGUAAAACUCUGUGGUGGCGUUGGCGUCCCAUAGCGCCGGAGUUGCUUACCCUUCCUGUGAGAGCGAUCGGACCCUUUCCGGUAUGUGACAUAAUUGUCCCUGUGCUCACUUAACUAUUGAUUUGGAUGAAGUUAGGAGAUUAAACCCCCACAAAUUUACAGACGUUUAAGGGGAGAGCACAAACACAGUCCCUCCACUACCACAAAUUAUGCAGUCAAGUUUCCCGUCCGUGGAGAAAUGGCAGGGGUCAGCACAUCUCAAGUGCAAUGAAUGAGUCUAGCCCUGGAAAGACCACCUUAGUGAUCAUGGUAUCUCUCCUGCCAG